UUUUUUUUUCUUUUGCCUUGCUGAAACUGAGAAGUCCCUCAUAGUCUGGACAAAUGCCAGCCCUUCCAGAGCUUCCUCAGAGAACAGUGGACACUGGUCAUUCUCUUAGGUUACCGUUGCUUAAGGAUACCAUUCUCCACAGUUGGCCUGGGUUUUCAGGGACACAGCCUGUAAGAGAUCAGCUCCUCCACUUCACACAGGGCAGCCAUGUUUCCCAAGGCAGAGCCCAGCACCCGAGGAGCAGCCUCACAACAGACUGUAACAUUUUCCCCUCCCCACCUAGUUCUAGCACUGUGCUCCCACCACCUAAGCCUGGGUUAUCAGCCCAUACUCCUGGAAUGUUUCUGCUAGGUCAUUCUUCCAUUUCUUUUUGCCACCUGGCUUCAGGUCGGUCUUCUCUCAUCUAUAAGAUGUGUCUUAGUAAAUGUAACAAUAAACACCAAACCCUCUUCUCUCAGAAGUUUCCUUUGUUUCUUCUUUAUGUGUGUAUGGGUUCAUAUGUAUAAAAAAUAAGAGCGAAUACCUAUUAUCAUUUUACCUACCAGCUUUUUCUGAACCCAAGCUCUUUCAAUGCUCUAUUUCCAAGUCCCAUAAAAAUGUUCUUAUCCUUGAACCAAUGGGUAGGAAUGAUCUUACUUUCUGUAACUUACAGGGGCUAUUGGGACGAGUGUUCCCAGAACAAAAGAACAACCUGCCCUAAAGCUAAGUUCAGAUUUUCACUAUGAACUUACAAUACCCAAGUUUUCUUAGUUACAACCAAUUUUAAGUUUUAUUGCCCUAGUCAACUUACUACAUGACAAUUAGAUUGGUAUGAAUGUUUUUCUCACAGGGUUGUUCAGAAUAAUAAAUGAGAUAAGAUGUGUAAAGAUCAAUUCAAAAGGACUAAUUAUUGUCACUAUCAUUAAUUAGUUAUGCUAAUUAACUUCUAAUCAUAGUUGUUCCUUUGGGUUGCAAGAGUCCCAGGGCUUCUUUCUCCCGCCCCUGCAUUGAAUUCAGUGUGGUGGUCUGACACCCAGUCAAUACAAUCCAGUGGAUUCCAGGUUGUCACCACAUCAUCAAUCAGAGGAGUCACCCUGACUCAGUGAUGAGGCCUGUGCAUUGAAGCACAGGGCUAUGUGCCCAGGAAUCCUUCCUCACUCUCUUCUGUUCCUGUGAGAACAAUUCAAGAGAACAGCUCUUGGUCAGGUGGUUUGGGGUUGCUUCUUGAACUUCUGUUUCCUUCUAGGUAGACCUUUAGGUCUUCAAGGAAUAGGACAAAACUGGGGUAAGUUUAUAUUAAUCUAUGCUUUCAACAGUCAUACCAAGGCACUAAUAUGGGAGUUGUUUGGUACUUGCCUGCCUUUAGGAAUACUGUGUCUUGAUUCUCUCACGGUUCUUUGGGUCUGCUCUUAUUAGUUAGGAAUCUGGGAAGGUCAUGGCUUGAUCUUAGCACCCCUAAACCUACAAUAGUGGUCUCAGAAAGCUAUGACUCUUUCACCCUAGGGUUUUAACGACCAUUGAUGUUUUAAGAAAUGUGUGCAUGUCCCCCAAAGGGAAGGACAGUUUUAGACUUUUCUUGGUUACAGCCAUGGAUGAUUUGGGUAAGCUUACUUACCAUGGGAAGUCACAAAAAAUAUUUAGGAGGUUGUACUGGUAGUACUGACUUGGUGGUCAAUGGAUGAAGCAGGAAAGGAGAGAAGUAUUCAGGUUGACAACUUCCUCUAGAGCAAGGUUAGCCAACUACAUCCACAAGGUCACAUCUAGUCUGCCACCAGUUUCAGCUUUUUAUUUUGAAAUAAUUUUAAGACUCUACCUGCACCCAUUUUGUAAAUAAAAUUUUAUUAGAACAUAACCAUUCUUAUUUGUUUAUAUAUCAUUUAUGGCUUCUUUCAUGCUUACAAUGACAGAAUUGAGCAAUUGAAAAUGAGAACAUAUAAUCGGUAAAGUCUAAAAUCAGUUUAUUUGGCCCUUUACAGAAUAAGUUUGCCAAUUCCUGCUUUAGAGUCAAAGAUUCUUCUCAGCCCAAAUGUUUCUCCAAAUGACCUCAGAUUUCAUAAUUCUCCUCACUGUGAACCAAAGGCCACAAGAGCCCUGAAGAGGCAGAGAAUGCCAAGGUUGGAAGUGUGCAUUAGUGGUCAUCUAAUGCAAUUCCUCAUCUGUGUAGAAUCUUCCAAUGCCGCCUCUUCAUGCCCUCCCCUCCUGGGUGAGGCACACUGUGCCUGAGGUACCAUCACUACUAUGAGCCAGAAAGUUCUUCCUGUUGGAAAAUGAUUUCUUGUAACAAGCUAAACUCUGGUAUAGUCAAGAAACAUUGGCAACAUUUUUAAUAUUUAUGACUCCCUAUCCAGCCGUUGAAGGAAGAAGACUUCAUUCCUGGCAGGAUGGUUUUCUCUGCCUGAUAGGUGGAUAGGUGGAGGAGACUAUUUCUCAAGUAAGAAAUAGUAAGAUACACCAACCCACAGAUGGAAUGGCUCUGUGGAGCAGCUCAUUUCUUCUACAUGGGAACAGAUGCUGGGCUCCACUGGAGGGCAGAUCCCAAGUAGGCUGCUGGUGGGUGUGGCUGGAAGGUGAGACAGGAGGAACUACAGGUGAGGAAGGAGUCAGAAGUGUGGAAGUCUCAGAUUAUUCUUCAGCACUUCUGGAGUGGCCCUUGAGUAUGUGAUUGUAUUUCUAGAUGCUGUCACUAUUUGAAGUGUCCUUUUAGGGAGAACAAAGGGACUCCAAUGAUCCAGAGGCAUUUGAGCUGUGAAUUUGAGGUUCAUUGAUGCAUUGGUACUAUAGCUUCUGUUAAAAGAUCUUUCAGUCAUAAUUGUCCAAUUUCUGCUCACUGCCUUAUUUUCUAACCCUAGGUUUCCUCUUCUCUGACCUCAAAUGGUGCUUGAAACAAGCAGGUGUAUGAUAUAUGUAUUAAAUUAUCACAAUGUACUCCAUAAAUUUAUACAAUUAUAAUAAUAAGAAAAUAAAUAGAAAGUCAUGAAUCCAAUGAACUUGAUAGUAUUUCUCAAUGUAUGGUGCAUGUCCCAGGAGGGCUAUAUAAACUGAUACUGAUACUCAGGUGGGCACUUUAGUAUUUGUAGUUACCAUUUUUUUAACGUCUAUUUGGGAAAAAGAAGUGUAUGAUUUCAUUGAUGUUACUCCCUAGGAAGAAACUAAACUCAAUUAAAUAAUAGUAGUGAUGGUAUAGAAAUAAGGAGCAUGACUGGUAUUUAGGAAAGUAGGCAAAAGGACCUUCUGAUUGACUUUCUAGAAUUCUUCCCCUCUUCCCUGUCUUUUCUCCUGUUUCCUCUCUGUGGCCAUGUGCUGUCCAGGAGAGGGGGUGGCACAUCUAUAUUCAGAUUCAAAACAGUGACCUUGACUGUUGAGGUCUGUGCUUAAAGGGUCCUCUCAGUUCUCCCAAGAGUCACCUCUUCUUUGUCAGGUGCAGCUCUGUUUUCCUAACUUCAAAUUCGGAUGAGGUACAUGGAACUGUAGGGGGAAAACCAAAAUGAAAGCAAGAAAACCAAAGUCCUGCAGAGAAUAUGCAUCCACACUUUACUUGGGAUUGCAGGAGGUGUUCUCUAACUACAUUGUCAGAAGACCUAAUGUGUUUGAAAAGCAAAUCUGCAGAAUUAACAGCCAGUAAACAGUCAAUAUUGAAGAUUGCAGAUUCUGUCUCACUUAUUUUUAGAAUAAGACCUUACUUAUUUUUGUUCACUUCUUGGCAUGAAGAUAUCUAUAAUCUGCUCUUUCUAACUCACUGCUAAUGGGUUCAUGCAUGUCUGCUUUCCUUGAUCUGGAUUCUAGAUGAUUUGUCCACAAUAGUGGAGGGAAGAAACCAGCCACUGCAAGUUUCUUUUCUGAUGUUAGAGAUUACUGAGUGUCCAAAGUUGAUGAAGCAUGGCAUUCCAAGGUGGACAAACCUGGAUUUGAACUUGUCUUAGCCAUCCCAUCUGUGGGUUGGUGUUUCUUACUUAAAUGGGUCUCACUUUCUUUGAUUGCUCUGCAAAUUACAUUUCCCGCCCCCCACAGGAGUUUUAUUGUAGGGAUUUAAGAAGUACAAUACAUAUAAAAAAAUUCUCAGCCUGAGUGCUGUUGAGUUUUAGAUGCUAAAUAAAUAUCAGUUCUUUUUUCAAUUUUUUAUGAGCUUGACAAGUGCUAGAACUAGAUGCUACAGACAAGGCAAAGAUGAAUACACUCAGGUCAGAGUGGCAAAUUAGUCUUCUUUCAUGUGCCAGCUCUCAAGAAGUGAUGCAGACUCGGGGAGAGCUGCUGUGAGAGGGAUUUGAAGGGUGAGCAGAGAAGAGUGUCAGUCACUUAGCUAUGUCUUCCAAGGCUCAGGAAGGGGCAUUUGGGAACAUGAAUGUCACAUAUGCCACCAUGGGCACGACCCUACUUUUGAGAAGUCAAAGCUAAUACAGUGUGAUAUUUGUCUGAAACAAAAAUAGCUAUUGCACAAGAAGACUGCUGGGAGGUAGGGGUGACCACUGUGUCAUGUCUCGAGGCCUGUUGGCAAACCAGAGAGGAAUGAACAGUUCUUCAGGUGGCUUUGGACCAAACCAGUUUUUCCUCCUUUCUUGCCUGCAGGUCUCAACAAUAACCAGAGAAUGUCCUGAGAACACAGCAUCCUGAGAUAAGGAGAGACAGGCUGGACAAUCUGAGCUCUGUUCUAGUCGACCUCCCCAGAAACAGGAUGCCCUCUGCUAUGGUUUCAACAUGUCUCCCAAAGUUCCUGUGCUGGAAACUUGGCCUUCAAGGCAACAGUGUUGAGAGGUGCAUCCUUUAAGAGAUGGUAUUAAUGGAUUAAUCCUGUUAUCAUGGGCAGGUGAGUUAUGGUAGGAGUGGCUCUUGGAAAGAGGAUGAGUGUAUCUGACUUCUCUUCUCUCUCCCCAUAUGAAGAAUAGGAAGAAGACCCUUAUCAUGUGCCAUCUUCUAGCUUCUAGAAAUCCCAGUCUUCAAAACUGUGAGAAAUAAAUUUCUUUAUACAGUGUCAAGACUGGAUUCUGUUAUAGCAACAAGACAUGGACUUGGACACUGCAGUGAUUCAGCCCAGUGUUUCUGGUGUUUGGCUUGUUCAACACAACCCAGGGCUGCUUUCAGGAUCCCUCAGCUGCUGUGCUACUGAGGCACACACAGUUGAGACUACUUGUCCAGGGCAGUUUUCCUGAGCAUUGGGGAACAGGCUGGCAUGAAUCCAGAGUAUCUGUUGUCUCUUAACUGUAAAUAUUAAAUAUGCUUCAUGUAAAACAUGCAUGUGUGAAACUUCUUGUUCCUUCUGCCAUGUGAGAACACACAGAAAGUGCCAUCAGUAAGG
rnacentral:lncRNA from 1 species